UACGGGGGGAGCAAGCGUUGUUCGGAUUUACUGGGCGUAAAGGGCGCGUAGGCGGUCAGCACAAGUCAGUUGUGAAAUCUCCGGGCUUAACUCGGAAAGGUCAACUGAUACUGUGCGACUAGAGUGCAGAAGGGGCAACUGGAAUUCUCGGUGUAGCGGUGAAAUGCGUAGAUAUCGAGAGGAACACCUGUGGCGAAGGCGGCCAACUGGACGAGUACUGACGCUGAGACACGAAAGCGUGGGGAGCAAACGGG
rnacentral:rRNA from 1 species